UGUCACAAUCACCCCAGUUGGCAGGGCCCAGGCAUGAGAUCAGAGUCACAACAUGUAGGUGCUGGGCCAAGUGAUAUGUCACAAUGCCCACCGUAGACAGGUUCCAGGAAGAAAAGAAGCAUCACAUCAUCUAGGUGAUAAACCCUGAGAUAUCUCACAAUGACCCCUUUGUGCAGAGAUCACAAAGAAGAAUCAUAUAACCCGUGUGCUGGAUCCAGUGGUAUGAAAGUCAACAUCUGUAUUUUGGCUCUAAGUACAUGAGACACAGUGGUGGACAAUCUAUACUGAGAGCCUCAAUUCUUCCUGUAGACAGUGUCUCCUCAGUGGAGUAAAAGCCUCACGGUGUGUUGAAUCUUGGUCUGAGAGUCGCCAACCCACUGGUGGACCGGAUCCACUUACAAGAGUCAGUGUUCAAACUUUCAACUGUCUCCAGCUGUGAGAUUCAGAACCUCAACAGGGAUGCAGGUUAUGAAGAUGAGAGCGUGAGACAGCGAGCUGUAAGGGAAGCAGGUUACACAGGGAUGGACAGAAGAUGGGCCCUGGCCCUCAUGUUAUGAAGCUUCUCCACGUGGUGCCCUCCUCUGACAAAUGGGCAGAAGAAUAUCCUUUUGAUAGAAUUAAAAUAUACGAAAACCAUUUAUUCUCCUGUUACAAUGAUUUUUAUUUCCACAGCAACACUUAGUACCU